GGAGGUUUAGCUCAGUUGGCAUAAGUGCCUGCCUGGCAAAUGCAAGGUCAUGGGUUUGAUCCCCAGUAACCUCCC
rnacentral:tRNA from 1 species